AAAUAUUCAAUUUCCUUGCAAAAUUCUUAGAAAAAAAUCACGCAAGAAUUAUUUAAUAAAAAAAAUCUGGAUAACGAUCAAAAAGAAGGAGGUUCUCUCUUAAACUUGUUUACGAGAUUCACGCCCUUUCUUUGGAAUUCUGUCGGUUCAUGUGUUCGAAACGAGUGGGUCGCCAGUGUCCCGUUAUGAGCAGAACGAGCGAUAACUGUAUUGGCCGGAUAACACGGUGCCUUAUUACCGUCCUGCAUCAGCGAGUCAUUAUUUAAAGGACGAAUAAUCGAUUCCGGUAAACGAUAACGCUUGAACUGAUGCAUUUUUCGCGCGUAUAGACGUUAAAUCAUGAAAUGACAAGCCACGAAUUUCAAGGAAAAGAAUUCACCGUGCAUAAACACCCGUGCAGCGGGUGUUGAGCUCGGUCGGAAUCGGGUUUUCGUGUCAUAAGAACAACUGCAUAAUUCAAGGUUGCAAAGUGGCGAUAUAUCGCGCAACCGGUUGUUCCAAUUUUUAUACGUUUUCCAAUAUGCUUCCAAUAUUAAAGGCGAUUUUGAAGAUUCUUUAGAAGCAUUCGUGGGAAUUCAUAAUCUUUACAGAGUAAUGCUACAGUUUUUUUGGAAUUUUUCAAGCGUUCUUAUCGUAGACGCAACGGUAUUAGAAAGAAGAAGUAUUCACACGACAGCGAAUAUAAGGAAAACGGUUUCUUUUUUAUAAAAAAGCAUAUUCCAUAGCGAAUUACCAAGAACGUUGAUCGUGGAAAUGCUAGCACAUGAGAAUACAAUGUUUGCAUAUUACCAGACCAGAGUACAAUAACCUCGUAAAGCGUAUGUGAACGUUUGGUAAUAUCCCGAAGGAGUAACUGCAAUAAUUAUAAGUUAAGCGCCAACAUAAUGUCUGUUGAGGGUUACUGGAGGUGUGUAUACGAGCGCACUGGGGAGCUUUAUCAGAGGACACUUACGACGGGUACUGCACGUUAUUUGGACCUAUACAAUCGGCUGGAUCCGUGAGCGCAUCGCCCCAUACAUAUUUCAAGCCCAAACCAUUUCCCUCGCAUUUUUUGGCUCCGUGGGCGCAUGUUGUAAUAACGAGCAGAAUCAGACCGAGGUACCUGGACAUCUGAAAUUACAUCAAAAACUAUAAUAAUAACACACUUGAAUCCGGUAAAAUUGAAUUGCUUAUCGAUUCGAGGACAGGUUAACAUUUCAAUUCCAAAACUAGGUUGGCGAAUUACGAUAAUAAUAAUCGUGUGUUUCUACAAAACGAAAGCGUGGAAACGAAUAGAUAGUUUCACGUAUCAAGAGCCGUUUUAAAAGACACGUACAUUAAUGAAAAUUAAUUAAGCCGACGAGCAACAUCUCAUGAAUAAAACAAUCACAACUGGCACUGGACUCUGGAUUACCAGGACCCACUAUGCGAGUGAGAACAGACUUGGAACUCGACUUCGCACGAGGUCAAGAGCAAAAGUAAAUGACAUUGGCUUUGGAUCGUGAUGCAUCGUGGCCGAAAAAAUUCAUCCAAUCAUUCUUUAGCACGCUUUCAUUACCGAUGGUGUGAUCAAGAUUCGUACAUAUCUAUAUUUUUAUUUUAUUUAACAAUUGCCUUUAAGUCUAUCAUUAUUCUCUGUUUCCGUUCUUCGACAGAGAUUCCGUUUCACGGGUUGGUCUCGAGCUUUUUCGCUUUCGAGCCUCACGAACGAUGAAAAUCGUCUUGACGAGAGAACGUAUGCAUUCGAGAAUAAUAAUUAAUGAACGCGCGUAACCAAUAUGAAUUCAUGUAUGGAGUUUGAGGUUUGUAGGUUGCCAGGUUCACAUAACUUCCGCUAUGUAUUUCUCGUUGUCGAUCAAAUAUGAGUGAAAGCAACGCGAUAGCAUGCAGCUGUUCAAUUUCGAAUACUUUUAUUCCUAGAGAAACGUAAACGUUUGAUCUAGUUUUUUUAACUUGUUCAAUUAUUAUUUGACGAAUUGAAAUUGAAUAGAAUGGUCAACGUGGUAUAAAAUUGCGGUUUGAUGUUUGCCCAAGUGAUAAAUUGCGCGUGGGAAAGGAAAGGAAGAAAAUCAUUAUUGGAUAGCACCCAAGGCUGGUCAUUGGCCGUGACUGGUAUCGCGCAUCUAUUUCUUCAGGAUGUGCUGUCCAGCAUUCUUCCUGUACCACAAGAAACAACUGAAUUGUAUAUAGUUCAGCGAUAAUAUCGUAAAGGAUGCAUGUUAUCUUGAUAGAAUCACACGCAAAUAUGGAAAUAUUUUUUGAUUUUAGAAAUUUAAAUAUAUCUCGUUGUAAAUAUUUAAAAAUAUAUAUAUUAACAUAGAUUUGUCUUUUGUAGCUUUUUCUAAUUUUUUAUGGAUUAAAUGAUCGUAAUCUUUACGUGAUAUUGAUCACACGGUAAAGGCUAUCGAGUAACUAUCUUAGUCAAGCUUCGAUGAAUUACAUAACGGCGAUCUUGCGAAAAAGAAAAGACCGAGUUAAGAAAGACGUGAGAAUCACUUGAACUUGGAAAAUCGAGGUCUUCCAUAAGUUUCCAUUCAUCAUCGACAAAAACAAUUAUUUGUGCUGUAACUUUUCACUUUAUUAUUUAGAAAUUUUUCCCAGUAACCAUCGGAGAAGUACUGUUAAUAUAUUAAAACAGGAUUAAUUAACUAGCUAUCUCUGAUCGUGGAAACACUCGAAUCGAUCGAAUUGAAAUGAGAUUUAUCUAACUGGAAUUGUGAAAUUGCUUCGAGGAAGAUAAAAUAAUUAUAUACGUAAUAUUGAUAAAUGAAAUAAAAUUGAUGAAACAUAACGAAGAAAAAGAGUUUAGGAAAAAUUAUGCUUCCGGUAGUCAGGAGAAGAUUCCUCGUGGACCAUGAGCGUGUCAUGCGGUUGGUUCUAACGAUCAGAUAUUUAUUUAUUUAUAGAUGAGAAUUAAUGUUUAACUUAAAUGAACUAUUGGAGAAUCAUUAUGAUUCCGAUAAGCUUUCAAGUCAUUAAAAUUUGUACGUACCAUUUUGUGAUGUUACAUUCAACGAUUCAGUCAUGAAAAUGUUUUAAUUAAUGUCUGUUACAGUCUACAGGAUGUCACUCACCAUGAGG